GUGUCAGCAGCCGCGGUAAUACGGAGGGGGCUAGUGUUGUUCGGAAUUACUGGGCGUAAAGGGCGCGCAGGCGGCUUGGCAAGUCGAGUGUGAAAUCCCUUGGCUUAACUAAGGAAUGGCGCUCGAAACUACCUCGCUAGAGGACGGGAGAGGGAAGUGGAACUCUCGGUGUAGGGGUGAAAUCUGUAGAUAUCGAGAGGAACACCGGUGGCGAAGGCGGCUUCCUGGCCCGUAUCUGACGCUGAGGCGCGAAAGCGUGGGGAGCAAACAGGAUUAGAAACCCCUGUAGUCC
rnacentral:rRNA from 1 species